rnacentral:rRNA from 1 species
UACGUAGGGGGCUAGCGUUGUCCGGAAUCAUUGGGCGUAAAGAGCGUGUAGGCGGCCCGGUAAGUCCGCUGUGAAAGUCGGGGGCUCAACCCUCGGAUGCCGGUGGAUACUGUCGGGCUCGAGUACGGAAGAGGCGAGUGGAAUCCUGGUGUAGCGGUGAAAUGCGCAGAUAUCAGGAGGAACACCAAUGGCGAAGGCAGCACUCUGGGACGGUACUGACGCUGAGACGCGAAAGCGUGGGGAGCAAACAGG